rnacentral:lncRNA from 1 species
GGGCGAGCGGGCGAGCCAGCAGCAGAAGGUCAUUGGGUAAGAGUAGAAAAUCCGUCAGACGAAGAAACAAGUAAACAAAAAUACUGUAACAUCCAUUUUGUCAAGUCCUUUUUGGCCUGAAGGAUGGGGAGGCUUCACGUCACACUUGGGACGCAGAGGAAAACAGCAAAGGGAGAAGAAAAUGUCAACAAUUUUCUUGGCAUUUGCGCCUAAAAGCAUGCUAAGUCAAGAACCCAGUUCCCCAGUCUUUAAAGUGUGCCAGACUCCACUCUGAGCAGCAGGGAAAAUGCAGAUUUCUACGCACAGUGAGACAGAGAAAAAAAAUAAAGUCAAUGGACGUGCCCAAAGCAAAGCUUUGAAUGCCAAGUGACACUUGAAGUGGGCGCUCGUCUGCCUUGGACCCUCCCUAGCAACUGUUUGGAACUGUUCCGUGGGACUGGUCUCAAAAUCGAUUCAAUGCGACAUCAUAUGCUCGAGCGAAGCGUCAAGCGGCCGGCACUUAUUAAAUUGAAAAUAUUGUGUGGUGGCUGGCAACCGCUUUAAGACCCUGCCCCAAAAAGGGACUCCCCUUUGAUUGAUAGCUGUCUAUUUCUAUCCCUAAAAGUUGUCUCGAGCGUGUGGGGCUGUGCAACAAAAAAUGUAAUAAAUGAAUGUGGCUUUUAUUGCCUGCCACCCCGGAGAAGAAAAGCCGCAAAUGGGUCGGGGCAUGAGUGUAUGGAAAAUGCGUAACAUUUCUGCUAUCAAGUUUAUCAUGGGGCCACAUUUGAUUAAUGGGCAGACGAGCGCCACGCCACCCCAAUGAGUGAUGACAGCUGCCAGCGAAAGUAGUUUUCAAUUAAAAUGGGAAACUUUUCAAUUUGCACUUUUCA